rnacentral:rRNA from 1 species
GAUGAACGCUGGCGGCGUGCCUAAUACAUGCAAGUCGAGCGGACAGAUGAUGAGCUUGCUGCUCUGACGAUAGCGGCGCAGGGGAGAGUCACACGUGGAUCACCUCCCUAUCUGACUGGGAACUCUUCGAGACACCGGCUAUUACCCGAGAUGAUAUCCUGCACCGCGUUGGUCGAUGGUAAGUGUCGGCUUUGCUGGCUCUUCUCGCUGGAUCCGCGCCGCAUUGGCUAGUUGGUAGGGUCACGGCUUACCAGGGCAACGAUGCGUAGCCGACCUGAGAGAGUGAUAGGCGACACUGGAGCGGAGACACGGCCCAGAGUCCUACGGGAGGCAGCAGAAGGGAAUCGGCCGCAAUGGGCGAAAGCCUGACGGAGCAAGGCCGCGUGAGAGAUGAAGGUCUUCCGAGCGGAAAAACCUGUUACUAGGGGAAAACAGAUGUGGAAGGAAACGAGGCCUGCGUGACGGUAACUAAUCAGAAAGCCCCGGCUAACUACGUG